GCAAAUAGUAAUUCUCUAAAAGGAGGGUUUCUUUCGGAAAAAUGGAUACGUGCGGCGUGUGUGUCUCCACCUCUCGUGUUGAGAUGUUGGGUUAAAUCCCCCAACAAGAGCAACCCUUUUGCUUAUUUGCCCCCGCGUAGAGAUGGGAACUCUAACGAUACUGCCAGUGACAAACUGGAGGAAGGUGGGGAUGACGUCAAAUCAUCAUGCCCCUUAUGACCUGGGCUACACACGUGCUACAAUGGUUGGUACAAAGGGAAGCUAAACGGCGAUGUGAAGCAAACCUCAAAAAGCCAAUCUCAGUUCGGAUUGGAGGCUGCAACUCGCCUCCAUGAAGUUGGAAUCGCUAGUAAUCGCGAAUCAAAAUGCCGCGGUGAAUACGUUCCCGGGUCUUGUACACACCGA
rnacentral:rRNA from 1 species